rnacentral:rRNA from 1 species
AUACGUAGGGGGCGAGCGUUGUCCGGAAUUAUCGGGCGUAAAGCGCGCGCAGGCGGUUCUUUAAGUCUGGUGUUUAAGUGCGGGGCUCAACCCCGUGCAGCACUGGAAACUGGGGGACUUGAGUGCAGGAGAGGAAAGCGGAAUUCCACGUGUAGCGGUGAAAUGCGUAGAGAUGUGGAGGAACACCAGUGGCGAAGGCGGCUUUCUGGCCUGUAACUGACGCUGAGGCGCGAAAGCGUGGGGAGCAAACAGGAUUAGAUACCCUGGUAGUCCACGCCGUAAACGAUGAGUGCUAGGUGUCGGGGGGGUCCACCCCUCGGUGCCGAAGUCAACACAUUAAGCACUCCGCCUGGGGAGUACGGUCGCAAGACUGAA